CAAUAGCGUAUAUUAAAGUUGUUGCGGUAAAAAAGCUCGUAGUUGGAUUUCUACCGAAGAUAGCCGGUCGGGUCUUCGACCUUGUAUCUGGUUUUGUCUUUGGUAUCCUCAUAGGGAACGUUUCUGCGCUUUAUUGCGUGGUGCGGUAUCUAUGACUUUUACUUUGAGGAAAUUAGAGUGUUCACGGCAGGCAAACGCCUUGAAUAUAUUAGCAUGGAAUAAUAACAUAGGAUCUUCGUCCUAUUUUGUUGGUUUCUAGGGCUAAGAUAAUGAUUAAUAGGGAUAAGUGGGGGCAUCUGUAUCAACGCGUCAGAGGUGGAAUUCUUGGAUUGCGUUGCGACAAACUACUGCGAAAGCAUUUGCCAAGGAUGUUUUCAUUGA
rnacentral:rRNA from 1 species